rnacentral:snRNA from 1 species
GGAUGGGAGGGUAAUCUGACUGCAACAUCUCAUGGCUGCACGUGCCUCUCUUUGGAAGCUGUGCUCCGUUGAAGAGCUGUCUUUCAGAUACACAGAAGGGGGAGGAUGACCCUUCUUCGGUCAAGGGGAUACAAGCAGCUGCGCUCCCCUGCUAGGACCUCUUAACAAGCUCUCAAGGUAACAAAGUGAACCAAAACACAGUCAAACCACCACCACCACCACCACCAAACUCAUUGCCAUCGAGGCAAUUCUG